UGGAGGCAGGGCCUUUGUGAAGGCGGGUGGUGCUCGGAUCGCCUCUGGGCCCUUCCUCCAGC
ensembl:miRNA MIR326 microRNA 326